GAGCUCACUUCAGCAGCAUAUACACUAUAAUUGGAAUGAUCCAGAGAAGAUUAACAUGGCCUUAAUGCAAAGAUGACACACGAAUCCAUGAAGCUUUUCAUAAUUUU
ensembl:snRNA U6 U6 spliceosomal RNA